CCUACGGGUGGCAGCAGUGAGGAAUAUUGGUCAAUGGACGAGAGUCUGAACCAGCCAAGUAGCGUGAAGGAUGACUGCCCUAUGGGUUGUAAACUUCUUUUAUAUGGGAAUAAAAUGUUCCACGUGUGGGAUUUUGUAUGUACCAUAUGAAUAAGGAUCGGCUAACUCCGUGCCAGCAGCCGCGGUAAUACGGAGGAUCCGAGCGUUAUCCGGAUUUGUUGGGUUUAAAGGGAGCGUAGGUGGAUUGUUAAGUCAGUUGUUAAAGUUUGCGGCUUAAACGUAAAAUUGCAGUUGAAACUGGCAGGCUUGAGUACAGUAGAGGUGGGCGGAAUUCGUGGUGGAGCGGUGAAAUGCUUAGAUAUAACGAAGAACUUCGAUUGCGAAGGCAGCUCACUGGCCUGCAACUGACACUGAGGCUCGAAAGUGUGGGGAUCAAACAGGAUUAGAUACCCUGGUAGUC
rnacentral:rRNA from 1 species